rnacentral:lncRNA from 1 species
AUGGGGUUUGGAGGCCCCCUUAGGAGGCAGGAAGUCUCUGCUCCCACUUCUGCAGAAAAAUGGAUUCAGAUAGCUCCGGAUUCAAAUCCCAGCCCCACCACUUCUGGGAUACUUGGUCUUUCCAGGAGCGUUUUAGAGCCAAGCCCCCAGAGAACCAGGACACUCGAGAAGACUCAGACUCUCGGGGGUCUGGAAUGGCCGUGUCUUUCCUUGGUGUCAGCUUGUGACCGGCUCAGCCUCACUAGGAGUCAUGGCUGCCUCCAUCCUGUCCCCGCAGAGAAAGGGACGCAGGGGUCACUUCUGGGCCCUGAUCAUCAGGAAGAACUUUUCAAAGUGCCCCAGGCUGGAAGAAGGAAGCGGCAAGCUGAGGACAGAGGGUGUAAACCCACCUGCUUGGCUCCUGUCACCCCAGAGCAGGGGUUGGAAGGGCAGGAACCACCUGAGGACCAGAGAUCUGCGGGAUUCCUCUCCUGGGACAUCGCCCCAAGUCCCCCGGACCCCAGACUGCAGGGUUCUCCUUGCUUCUGCAGCUGGGCCCUGUCCCUUCACAGGGGACAAUGGAGGAAGGGCUGCCAGGCCUUGGGCCCCAGUGUCCCACAGCAAACACAGGGCAGGGCAGGCGCCCAAACCAGAGCCUCCUGA